UACAUGGGGUGCAAACGUUGUUCGGAAUUAUUGGGCGUAAAGCGCGCGUAGGCGGUUUGUCAAGUCGGAUGUGAAAGCCCUCGGCUUAACUGAGGAAGUGCACCCGAAACUGAGUAGCUAGAGUACCAAAGAGGGUCGCGGAAUUCCCGGUGUAGAGGUGAAAUUCGUAGAUAUCGGGAGGAACACCGGUGGCGAAGGCGGCGACCUGGGUGGAUACUGACGCUGAGGCGCGAAAGCGUGGGGAGCAAACAGG
rnacentral:rRNA from 1 species